UUUGGGAGGGAGCGUGGGGACGCGACGCACGGCGCUCCGAACCCUGGGGGACCUGGCCAUGCAGGAGCCCGGAAUAGGAACUGCUCAAGAGGAGGCAGGAGGAAAAGUUGCCUGAUACAGAUGGAAGGAACGAUCUGCUGAAUGGCUGUAAAAAAGGGAUGCUGUGGUAGGAAGGUCUGACAAAAAGGACACUGUCAGAAGCAAAGCUACUCACUGCCCAACUCUUCAACUGCAGAAAUAUCAGCCAGUGUCCUUGCUCUUCUGCAAGGACCUUCAUUUCCCUGAAGUCACACAUUAUUAUUCACUUAAUGUCUAAGGUAUUAUAUAAAGUGAUUGUGCUGCAUUUUCAGCUCAGAGAGGUUUCUCUCAAAUGAUGUAAGGAAGGGUAGCAAGUGCGAGUAAUUUUCUCUGCUGCUUUCAUGCUCUUCAGAUAAGAGCAGCAGUUAUUAAUUAAUCAGCUCCAYGAACGAAUUAAAAUAAUAUAUUCUGCAUGUACUAAUUCAUGUAACAUAUAAUAUAUGUAGGUGAAAUGAAAGCCACAACAAAUACAAAUAGAAGUUUCACAAGAAUUUAGUGAUAGGCAAUGAAGAGGACCCUGGGAGAAACAGUGAAACAACCCUCUUGUGCCUUGCUUUAUUCAUAAAGACAAAUUCACUUUCUUUCUGGAAAUGGUUGAUACUCAACCUCAGCUCUGUGGGUCAACUCCACUUCUUUUCCCUCUUUGAAAUGCUUGAGCAUUUUUUGAUAUGUUUGAUAAGUUUCUAUAAAUCCAUUUGCAUCAGAGUGCUAAAAAGACACAUACCAUGUAGGAAAAAAUUGCAUAGCUCUCCUUCCACAUGGACUUUGUCAAAAAUAACCAGCUGCAAACAAGAAGGGAUGCAUAUUUUCCAUGAUUCAUGCUGCAAAACCCACCAUAGGCUGUGGGACUGUUGUACAAAAUUUGAGAUUUCACAGAAAAAAAAAUGCUACCAGGCGGCCUGAUGGUGAGGGAAGACUUCCCAAACAGGAACUGAACAUGAAUCAAGUCAGCAUGAGUCAGAUUGUUUUUGUGAUUCUGCAGAGAGACAAUCUGAGAUAAUAGCUGGGUUGCGUGAACUACUGCUAUAAUUUAUUACAAUAAAAAUUCACAAUACAAUGACACUAUUGUGAAUUGGGGUUU